AGAGAAACGUUCUGCAGAUCCAGAUACUCUCUACUCUGGUGUGAGGACACACACUGCAGGUCCUUCUGAGGUCACAUAUGGUCACGUUGUCAUCAGGUCUCAGAGGACAGCUGGAACAAGGACUGGUCAGCUGUCUGAUCCAGAUGUUGUGUACUCUUCAGUGAGAGCAGGAAACUGAACACGGAUCUUCUGAUGGACAGUUUCAUCUUUAUUUUACUGGUCAACUGUUUUCUGUAUUUCCUAGUUUAAUGUAAUUUUUUUCUUUUUUAAUCUCUUUUUUAGUUCUUAUCUUUAUUGCUCAUCUCUUUGCUGCCCACCCCAAAAUGAAUUUGCUUCAGUUUUUUUGGUGCAUAACAAUAAACACAGUAGGUAGAAAAUAUAAGAAACAUUUAUAUUAACAUUUACUCAUUUGGAAGACACUUUUAUCCAACUUAAUUUAAAGAACAAUAUACAAGCAUCAAUACAGCACGAGAUCUACAACUGACACUAGGUACUAGUAAGAACAUAUAGAUCUAGAUAAGAGCUAAUAAUGAGUACAGCAUCAGUCGAGUAAAUACCUGGGAAAAGACAAAAGUAAGAGUUAACAAAAUAGAGCAAUUAAUACAAGACAAUUGUAAGGAGACAGAGAGAGGGCACAGGCAGUGCAUGUUAGAGGUUAGAGGUGUUAUAAGAGGAAGUGUU